rnacentral:rRNA from 1 species
GACGAACCGUGCGAACGUUGUUCGGAAUCACUGGGCGUAAAGGGCGCGUAGGCGGAUAUCUAAGUUGGGGGUGAAAUCCCGGGGCUCAACCUCGGAAUUGCCUUCAAAACUGGGUAUCUUGAGUUCGGGAGGGGUGAGUGGAACUCCGAGUGUAGAGGUGAAAUUCGUAGAUAUUCGCAAGAACACCAGUGGCGAAGGCGGCUCACUGGCCCGAUACUGACGCUGAGGCACGAAAGCGUGGGGAGCAAACAGG